rnacentral:sRNA from 1 species
GCCAGGCAAGGUGGCGCAUGCCUGUAGUCCCAGCUACUUGGGAGGCUGAGGCAGCAGGAUUGCUUGAGCCCAGGAGUUUGAGGUUGCUGUGAGCUAGGCUGAUGCCACGGCACUCACUCUAGCCUGGGCAACAAAGUGAGACUCUGUCUCAAAAAAAAAAAAAAUUGAGAUGGAGUCAUACUCUGUUGCCCAUGCUGAAGUGCAGUGGCAUGAUCAUAAUUCACUGCAGCCUUGAACUCCUGGGCUCAAGCAAUCUUCCCAUCUCA